rnacentral:rRNA from 1 species
AUUGAACGCUGGCGGAAUGCUUUACACAUGCAAGUCGAGCGGCAGCACGGGGGCAACCCUGGUGGCGAGCGGCGAACGGGUGAGUAAUACAUCGGAACAUGCCCAGUCGUGGGGGAUAACAUUUCGAAAGAAGUGCUAAUACCGCAUACGUCCUGAGGGGGAAAGCGGGGGAUCGCAAGACCUCGCGCGAUUGGAGUGGCCGAUGUCAGAUUAGCUAGUUGGUGGGGUAAAGGCCUACCAAGGCAACGAUCUGUAGCUGGUCUGAGAGGAUGAUCAGCCACACUGGGACUGAGACACGGCCCAGACUCCUACGGGAGGCAGCAGUGGGGAAUUUUGGACAAUGGGGGCAACCCUGAUCCAGCCAUGCCGCGUGAGUGAAGAAGGCCUUCGGGUUGUAAAGCUCUUUCGGCAGGAACGAAACGGUGAACUCUAACAUAGCUUGCUAAUGACGGUACCUGAAGAAGAAGCACCGGCUAACUACGUG